UACGUAGGGUGCGAGCGUUGUCCGGAAUUAUUGGGCGUAAAGGGCUUGUAGGCGGUUUGUCGCGUCUGCCGUGAAAAUCCGGGGCUCAACCCCGGACUUGCGAUGGGUACGGGCAGACUAGAGUGUGGUAGGGGAGACUGGAAUUCCUGGUGUAGCGGUGAAAUGCGCAGAUAUCAGGAGGAACACCGAUGGCGAAGGCAGGUCUCUGGGCCACUACUGACGCUGAGAAGCGAAAGCGUGGGGAGCGAACAGG
rnacentral:rRNA from 1 species